UAAGGCUUUAGCUUAAUUAAAGUGUCUGUUUUGCAUACAGAAGAUGUGGGUUAAUUUCCCGCAAGUCUUAUC
rnacentral:tRNA from 1 species